rnacentral:rRNA from 1 species
AAAAGAAAUCAACCGAGAUUCCCCCAGUAGCGGCGAGCGAACGGGGAGCAGCCCAGAGCCUGAAUCAGUGUGUGUGUUAGUGGAAGCGUCUGGAAAGGCGCGCGAUACAGGGUGACAGCCCCGUACACAAAAAUGCACAUAUUGUGAGCUCGAUGAGUAGGGCGGGACACGUGGUAUCCUGUCUGAAUAUGGGGGGCCCAUCCUCCAAGGCUAAAUACUCCUGACUGACCGAUAGUGAACCAGUACCGUGAGGGAAAGGCGAAAAGAACCCCGGCGAGGGGAGUGAAAAAGAACCUGAAACCGUGUACGUACAAGCAGUGGGAGCACGCUUAGGCGUGUGACUGCGUACCUUUUGUAUAAUGGGUCAGCGACUUAUAUUCUGUAGCAAGGUUAACCGAAUAGGGGAGCCGAAGGGAAACCGAGUCUUAACUGGGCGUUAAGUUGCAGGGUAUAGACCCGAAACCCGGUGAUCUAGCCAUGGGCAGGUUGAAGGUUGGGUAACACUAACUGGAGGACCGAACCGACUAAUGUUGAAAAAUUAGCGGAUGACUUGUGGCUGGGGGUGAAAGGCCAAUCAAACCGGGAGAUAGCUGGUUCUCCCCGAAAGCUAUUUAGGUAGCGCCUCGUGAAUUCAUCUCCGGGGGUAGAGCACUGUUUCGGCAAGGGGGUCAUCCCGACUUACCAACCCGAUGCAAACUGCGAAUACCGGAGAAUGUUAUCACGGGAGACACACGGCGGGUGCUAACGUCCGUCGUGAAGAGGGAAACAACCCAGACCGCCAGCUAAGGUCCCAAAGUCAUGGUUAAGUGGGAAACGAUGUGGGAAGGCCCAGACAGCCAGGAUGUUGGCUUAGAAGCAGCCAUCAUUUAAAGAAAGCGUAAUAGCUCACUGGUCGAGUCGGCCUGCGCGGAAGAUGUAACGGGGCUAAACCAUGCACCGAAGCUGCGGCAGCGACGCUUAUGCGUUGUUGGGUAGGGGAGCGUUCUGUAAGCCUGCGAAGGUGUGCUGUGAGGCAUGCUGGAGGUAUCAGAAGUGCGAAUGCUGACAUAAGUAACGAUAAAGCGGGUGAAAAGCCCGCUCGCCGGAAGACCAAGGGUUCCUGUCCAACGUUAAUCGGGGCAGGGUGAGUCGACCCCUAAGGCGAGGCCGAAAGGCGUAGUCGAUGGGAAACAGGUUAAUAUUCCUGUACUUGGUGUUACUGCGAAGGGGGGACGGAGAAGGCUAUGUUGGCCGGGCGACGGUUGUCCCGGUUUAAGCGUGUAGGCUGGUUUUCCAGGCAAAUCCGGAAAAUCAAGGCUGAGGCGUGAUGACGAGGCACUACGGUGCUGAAGCAACAAAUGCCCUGCUUCCAGGAAAAGCCUCUAAGCAUCAGGUAACAUCAAAUCGUACCCCAAACCGACACAGGUGGUCAGGUAGAGAAUACCAAGGCGCUUGAGAGAACUCGGGUGAAGGAACUAGGCAAAAUGGUGCCGUAACUUCGGGAGAAGGCACGCUGAUAUGUAGGUGAAGUCCCUUGCGGAUGGAGCUGAAAUCAGUCGAAGAUACCAGCUGGCUGCAACUGUUUAUUAAAAACACAGCACUGUGCAAACACGAAAGUGGACGUAUACGGUGUGACGCCUGCCCGGUGCCGGAAGGUUAAUUGAUGGGGUCAGCGCAAGCGAAGCUCUUGAUCGAAGCCCCGGUAAACGGCGGCCGUAACUAUAACGGUCCUAAGGUAGCGAAAUUCCUUGUCGGGUAAGUUCCGACCUGCACGAAUGGCGUAAUGAUGGCCAGGCUGUCUCCACCCGAGACUCAGUGAAAUUGAACUCGCUGUGAAGAUGCAGUGUACCCGCGGCAAGACGGAAAGACCCCGUGAACCUUUACUAUAGCUUGACACUGAACAUUGAGCCUUGAUGUGUAGGAUAGGUGGGAGGCUUUGAAGUGUGGACGCCAGUCUGCAUGGAGCCGGCCUUGAAAUACCACCCUUUAAUGUUUGAUGUUCUAACGUGGACCCGUGAUCCGGGUUGCGGACAGUGUCUGGUGGGUAGUUUGACUGGGGCGGUCUCCUCCUAAAGAGUAACGGAGGAGCACGAAGGUUGGCUAAUCCUGGUCGGACAUCAGGAGGUUAGUGCAAUGGCAUAAGCCAGCUUGACUGCGAGCGUGACGGCGCGAGCAGGUGCGAAAGCAGGUCAUAGUGAUCCGGUGGUUCUGAAUGGAAGGGCCAUCGCUCAACGGAUAAAAGGUACUCCGGGGAUAACAGGCUGAUACCGCCCAAGAGUUCAUAUCGACGGCGGUGUUUGGCACCUCGAUGUCGGCUCAUCACAUCCUGGGGCUGAAGUAGGUCCCAAGGGUAUGGCUGUUCGCCAUUUAAAGUGGUACGCGAGCUGGGUUUAGAACGUCGUGAGACAGUUC